rnacentral:miRNA from 1 species
UUCUUUCCGGUCAACGAGGAUGUAUGUACCUUUUUGAUCAGAAGGAAACCCUUCCGAUCAGGGAGGUACAUCUACCUCUUUGAUCAGAAGGGUUUCCUUCCGAUCAUCAAGGUACGUCCUCUUUGAUUGGAAGGAA